CAGUCGCCGCGGUAAUACAGAGGGUGCAAGCGUUAAUCGGAAUUACUGGGCGUAAAGCGCGCGUAGGUGGUUUGUUAAGUUGGAUGUGAAAUCCCCGGGCUCAACCUGGGAACUGCAUCCAAAACUGGCAGGCUAGAGUAGGGCAGAGGGUGGUGGAAUUUCCUGUGUAGCGGUGAAAUGCGUAGAUAUAGGAAGGAGCACCAGUGGCGAAGGCGACCACCUGGGCUCAUACUGACACUGAGGUGCGAAAGCGAGGGGAGCAAACAGGAUUAGAUACCCCUGUAGUCCCUGUCUCUUAUAC
rnacentral:rRNA from 1 species